GUCGUGGUUAGCCGGCGAUAAUGAACCUGCUUCCGAAGCUUGGGGCCGCGGGUUCGAAUCCCGCCCCGGACA
rnacentral:tRNA from 1 species